GACACCAAUUGUCAAAAAUCCCAGAAACUGUCAUAUCUUAGUUAAUGCGGAGAGUCAGAAAACAGACAUUGGUAUUCGAAAGUCUUCUUAAAUGUUAUUUUUAAUUGAUCUCGUCAUUAUACAAAAUUCGUCCAUUCUGGUGGAUCCGAGGAACGAGAGAAGCAUUUGAUAAGUGUGGACAAUAGGCGUGUGGCGCUCCAGGACCGCGUUGUGUCAAUCUUUUCGUCUCUGCAGUGCAGCGAGGUGAUGUGCAGCGACCAAACCCGGACCCACGGCAUGUCCAAACCGAUUAGGGGUCAGGGACGACUGAAGCAAGACCUCUGCAAUUAUAUUCCUUACAGCAGCCUUCAACCAAUGAACUCUACAUCCCAGACUAACUCAACCAAUUUAAAACUGUUGACUUGUGGGUAAAUAAAGAGUUAAGGAAUA